AAUAAUUAAAAAAAAAGAGUAAAAGUGAAACUCCGAUUCUCCGAAAGAAGCGAUUAGAUAAGGACGGGCGGGCUUCUUCUCUGUGACAACCAGAAAUUGACACUAAAUGGCCACCACCAAACAAGUGAUUAUAGAUGCUCUCGAGGAGCUUACGAAAGAGGAGUUUUAUGAAUUCAGAUGGCAAUUGGUGAACGGAAUAGGACCAGACUCUCUUCCUCGAGGAAAACUUGAGGAAGCCAAUAGGCAUGAUGUUGUGGAUUACAUGGUGCAACGCUAUGGCAAUCCAAAAGCGGGAACGAUUGCAGUCGAAGCACUAUACAAGAUCAAACAAAAUGAACUUGCUGGAAAACUAAGGAGUCUUCAGGAAGCAACUCUCUCACUUGAUCUCUCAGUGCCGGUGUCAGAAGUAGAUCUGAAGUAGCCGGUUUAGCGAGUGGAGCUUCAUCCAGGCCAGCAGUUGAGUCUGCUCCAGCUCCAGCAGUGGACAUAAAUGCUUCUGGUGGAGGAACUGAUAAGGCCCCUGUUCUUAAUAGUGACGGCCCAGUACCAUUCAACGGAUACUUUAUCAAAUGAUGUAUUUGGUUUUCUUCUCAGAAAUUCAUGAUGUUGUCAUUUUCCUUACUCGGAAAUGUUUUAAUUUUAUUAAGAUUGUCAACACAACAUUCCAAAUGAUUAAACAAUUA